CACCGGCGGCCCGAGUGGUGGCCACUAUUAUUGGGCCUAAAGGGUCCGUAGCCGGUUUGAUCAGUCUUCCGGGAAAUCUGACAGCUCAACUGUUAGGCUUCCGGGGGAUACUGUCAGACUUGGGACCGGGAGAGGUAAGAGGUACUACAGGGGUAGGAGUGGAAUCUUGUAAUCCUUGUGGGACCACCAGUGGCGAAGGCGUCUUACCAGAACGGGUCCGACGGUGAGGGACGAAAGCUGGGGGCACGAACCGGAUUAGAUACCCGGGUAGUCCCAGCCGUAAACGAUGCUCGCUAGGUGUCUGGGAUGGUGCGACCGUUUCAGGUGCCGCAGGGAAGCCGUGAAGCGAGCCACCUGGGAAGUACGGCCGCAAGGCUGAAACUUAAAGGAAUUGGCGGGGGAGCACUACAACGGGUGGAGCCUGCGGUUU
rnacentral:rRNA from 1 species